rnacentral:rRNA from 1 species
ACUCUCCUACGGGACGCAGCAGUGAGGAAUAUUGGUCAAUGGACGCAAGACUGAACCAGCCAUGCCGCGUGCAGGAAGACGGAUCUAUGAGUUGUAAACUGCUUUUGUACGAGGGUAAACGCAGAUACGUGUAUCUGUCUGAAAGUAUCGUACGAAUAAGGAUCGGCUAACUCCGUGCCAGCAGCCGCGGGAAUACGGAGGAUUCAAGCGUUAUCCGGAUUUAUUGGGUUUAAAGGGUGCGUAGGCGGUCGGAUAAGUUAGAGGUGAAAUACCGAGGCUCAAUUUAGGAAUUGCCUCUGAUACUG